AUACGGAGGGAGCGAGCGUUAAUCGGAAUUACUGGGCGUAAAGCGCGCGUAGGCGGCGAGGUCAGUCGGAUGUGAAAGCCCUGGGCUUAACCCAGGAACUGCAUUCGAUACUGCUUGACUAGAGUAUGGUAGAGGGAAGUGGAAUUUCCGGUGUAGCGGUGAAAUGCGUAGAUAUCGGAAGGAACACCAGUGGCGAAGGCGACUUCCUGGGCCAAUACUGACGCUGAGGUGCGAAAGCGUGGGGAGCAAACAGGAUUAGAAACCCGGGUAGUCC
rnacentral:rRNA from 1 species